rnacentral:rRNA from 1 species
UACGGGGGGAGCAAGCGUUGUUCGGAUUUACUGGGCGUAAAGGGCGCGUAGGCGGUAGCACAAGUCAGUUGUGAAAUCUCCGGGCUUAACUCGGAAAGGUCAACUGAUACUGUGCGACUAGAGUGCAGAAGGGGCAACUGGAAUUCUCGGUGUAGCGGUGAAAUGCGUAGAUAUCGAGAGGAACACCAAUGGCGAAGGCAGCUCGCUGGAACGGUACUGACGCUGAGGCGCGAAAGCGUGGGGAGCAAACAGG